AUGUGUGCCUCAGCCCUUUAUCUCAACAGGAAAGAAUUCUUGACAAACAGCACAGUAGUUCUGUGCUGGAAAAUGAAAACAGCCACAGUGGAUGCUGCAUCCAACAGUGUACUCACUAAAAUACAAACUGUUAGUAAGAUAACCAGGUCAUGGGAAAUUUCUAGAACUGGCUGGCUGAAUAUCUAUGCUGCUGCUGCUUUUAAGGCACCGGAAAUAGACCUGAAGAUAAAGAUCUUAAUGCAAGUGAGUUACUGAAGAGACACAGGAGCUGGGUAACUAUAUUUUAUGAGUCUUUUCUAAAAUAGCCAACAUAACAUUACAACAAAGAAUUAAAUAAAGUAUGGCAUCCUCAUGUGCUGUACUAUUUUUUAACAUUUAUAUUUUCUUUUUUUUUCAACUUUUAAGUGCCAGGGUACAUGUGCAGGAUGUGCAAGUUUGUUACAUAGGUAAGUUUGUGCCAUGGUUGUUUGCUGGACAGAUCAACUCAUCACCUAGGUAUUAAGCCCAGCAUCCUUUAGCUAGUCUUCCUGGUGCUCACCCUACCACUGUGUACCACCUCCCAAAAGGCAUCUGUGUUGUUCCCUUCCAUGUACCCAUGUGUUCUCACUGUGCAGCUCCCACUUUUGCUUGUUUUUCUGUUCCUGUGUUUGCUGAGGAUAAAACAGCUUCCAGCUCUGUCCAUGUCCCUGCAAAGGAGGUGAUUUCAUUCAUUUUUAUGGCUGCAUAGUAUUCCAUGGUGUAUGUGUACCACAUUUUCUUUAUCCAGUCUAUCAUUGAUGGGCAUUUUAGUUCAUUCCAUGUCUUUGCUAUUGUGAUUAGUGUUUCAAUGAAUGUACAUGUACAUGUAUCUUUAUAAUAGAAUGAUUUAUAUUCCUUGGGGUAUACACCCAUGAGAUUACUGGGUCAAAUGGUAUUUCUGCUUCUAGAUCUUUGAGGAA
rnacentral:lncRNA from 1 species